AACUCGAAGCCGGAGCUGUCUCGCCUGCAAUUUGCAGUCUGGAGGGUCGCGAGUUCGAUGCCCAGACGGGGGAUGAGUCUGGGUUCCGAAACGGUGCUUCCGUUGCUGAAGCUUCCGUCUAUAGAUUGAUCGAGUUUUGAAUACAAGCAUACUGAAAUGAAUGAUGGCGGAAAUAAUGCAAUACAUAAACGGAUGUAAAGAUGACACGACGAUUCGGAAUUUAAAAUCAAUGAAGAUAAAUGAGAUGUUCUAGAUUUUUCUAGAUUAGGUUAUGAAGAUUUUUGGCGGGGAACAAUAUGAACCAAGACUCUUGAUGAACGCAGA